GACGAACGCUGGCGGCGUGCUUAACACAUGCAAGUCGAACGGAAAGGCCCUGCUUUUGUGGGGUGCUCGAGUGGCGAACGGGUGAGUAACACGUGAGUAACCUGCCCCUGACUUUGGGAUAACUUCAGGAAACUGGGGCUAAUACCGGAUAGGAGCACCUGCUGCAUGGUGGGGGUUGGAAAGUUUCGGCGGUUGGGGAUGGACUCGCGGCUUAUCAGCUUGUUGGUGGGGUAGUGGCUUACCAAGGCUUUGACGGGUAGCCGGCCUGAGAGGGUGACCGGCCACAUUGGGACUGAGAUACGGCCCAGACUCCUACGGGAGGCAGCAGUGGGGAAUAUUGCACAAUGGGCGGAAGCCUGAUGCAGCAACGCCGCGUGCGGGAUGACGGCCUUCGGGUUGUAAACCGCUUUCGCCUGUGACGAAGCGUGAGUGACGGUAAUGGGUAAAGAAGCACCGGCUAACUACGUG
rnacentral:rRNA from 1 species